rnacentral:ncRNA from 1 species
UUUAUAGCAAUGCACUAGAGAGUAUAAGCAAAGUAUCUAACAGCGACAAAAUCAUUUGGUGUGAGAUUUUGAGGACUUUGACUUAGAAAGUAGCUAGUGGGCUUUGUCGGUGAAUAUUGUAGUAGCCGAUGACGUGAGGACGCGUUAAGUCAAAAUGAGAUAGAGAAUAAACUCUAAUUCAGGUGGUACCGCGAUAAUUUCGCCCUGAAC